rnacentral:rRNA from 1 species
UACGUAGGUGGCAAGCGUUGUCCGGAUUUACUGGGCGUAAAGAGUGCGCAGGCGGUCGUUCAAGUCGCGUGUGAAAGCCCCCGGCUCAACUGGGGAGGGUCACGCGAUACUGAUCGACUCGAAGGCAGGAGAGGGUAGUGGAAUUCCCGGUGUAGUGGUGAAAUGCGUAGAUAUCGGGAGGAACACCAGUGGCGAAGGCGACUACCUGGCCUGUUAUUGACGCUGAGGCGCGAAAGCGUGGGGAGCAAACAGG